CCUCCUCCUCCACAUUCUCCUCCUCCUCCUCCUUCUUCUCACACCUUUUGGUCCAGAGAGGAAGAGGAAGCCCAGCCCAGCGAGAGAGACGCUGAGAGGAUGAAACUCUGACACGCCGACAGACCACAGGGAAACAAGAGCACAACUAUAAUUGCUGGAAGGAAGCGCCCGGGAAGGUCAGCCAAGAAUCCCGCCGUAGGUGCCAAAGUGAAAAUCUACAGGACUACAAUUACUUGGACAGACUGAGGCUGCGGAGCAAAGUGAAUGACAGACUCUGAUCGCUUUAAGGGGGCGCUGACUCUGGACUUCACGCUCAGCUUCUGCAACAAGUGAUUUCUCCCCCUCCCAGUACCAUCCCCUCUGACCGUUGACCUCCAGCCCUUUUACAGGUUGUAUCUGACGGAGGGACCGGUUGCCGCGCUCUCCCCAUCCCCGCGCCUUCUCCUUCAACAACAACAACUAGUUCUUCAGGACCUGUGGCAGCAGCAGCGAGUCAAGUGACCCAGCUUCAGCCCGACCGGCUUUACCUGUACAUGGAGACCCCCAGCUGGGC